CAUUCUAAAACACGUCAACCAUAUACAACCUUAUUUUCAUAAAUAUUCAGAUGAAACAGAAAGUGGUCUAGAGUCUUCUAUUCCCUUUCUCGAUUAUUAGGAUACGAGUUGUCUUACUCAAUUAUCCAAGUGUUCGUCAUCCUUUCAAAACACCUUAACUACUAUCAAAUCCUUUUUAUAAUUAAGGAUGAAAAAGAAAGUGGUCUAGAGUCUUCUAUUCCCUUUCCCGACUGUUAGGAUACGAGUUGUCU
rnacentral:lncRNA from 1 species